rnacentral:tRNA from 1 species
GUCGGAGUGGCCUAGUCUGGUUAGGGCGUCGGACUCAUAGCAUCCGGAGGUCGGGGGUUCGGAUCCCCCCUCCGACA